UACGGGGGGGGCAAGCGUUGUUCGGAAUUACUGGGCGUAAAGCGUGUGUAGGCGGUCCGCUAAGUCGGGUGUGAAAGCCCUGGGCUCAACCCAGGAAGUGCACUCGAAACUGGCGGGCUAGAGUAUCGGAGAGGUUGGUGGAAUUCUCGGUGUAGAGGUGAAAUUCGUAGAUAUCGAGAGGAACACCGGUGGCGAAGGCGGCCAACUGGACGAAUACUGACGCUGAGACACGAAAGCGUGGGGAGCAAACAGG
rnacentral:rRNA from 1 species